rnacentral:rRNA from 1 species
CCACCGCGGUUAUACGAAAGACCCUAGUUGAUAAAUACGGCGUAAAGGGUGGUUAAGGAACAUAAAAAAUAAAGCUAAAGAUCCUCUAAGCCGUCAUACGCACUCCGAGGACACGAAGCCCCAACACGAAAGUAGCUUUAAACAAAUUUUACCUGACCCCACGAAAGCUAAGAAACAAACUGGGAUUAGAUACCCCACUAUGCUUAGCCUUAAACCUAGAUGUAUCUUUACACAAACAUCCGCCUGGGUACUACGAGCACAGCUUAAAACCCAAAGGACUUGGCGGUGUCUCAGACCCACCUAGAGGAGCCUGUUCUAGAACCGAUAACCCCCGUUAAACCUCACCACUUCUUGUUUUCCCCGCCUAUAUACCGCCGUCGUCAGCUUACCCUGUGAAGGUCAAAUAGUAAGCAAAAUGGGCCCGCCCAAAAACGUCAGGUCGAGGUGUAGCGCACGAAGUGGGAAGAAAUGGGCUACAUUUUCUACAACAGAAUAUUUACGAAUGGCACCCUGAAAUAAAUGCCUGAAGGUGGAUUUAGUAGUAAAAAGCAAAUAGAGCGUCCUUUUGAAUUAGGCUCUGAGACGCGCACACACCGCCCGUCACUCUCCCCUCAUAUAUUAAAAUUAAACCCAACAUUCCUAAUCAAAUAUCCAUUAUUACGGGGAGGCAAGUCGUAACAUG